rnacentral:ncRNA from 1 species
GCGAUGAGCGAACACGGAAUCUCGUCUUGUUUCCCUUGGUUUCGAGUCAAUUUCGCAAUGACAAUGGAAAGCAAGGCUGUAAGGCGAAGCAAAUCCAAAAAAACUGUCUUGGUUUAGAUUGUUCUCUGCAACUCGGAAACAUAAAAUUAAAAUCGCUAGUAAUCGCGGAUCAGCAUGCCGCGU